GAUGAACGCUGGCGGCGUGCCUAAUACAUGCAAGUCGAGCGAACAGACGAGGAGCUUGCUCCUCUGACGUUAACGGCGGACGGGUGAGUAACACGUGGAUAACCUACCUAUAAGACUGGGAUAACUUCGGGAAACCGGAGCUAAUACCGGAUAACAUGUUGAACCGCAUGGUUCAACAGUGAAAGACGGUCUUGCUGUCACUUAUAGAUGGAUCCGCGCCGCAUUAGCUAGUUGGUAAGGUAACGGCUUACCAAGGCAACGAUGCGUAGCCGACCUGAGAGGGUGAUCGGCCACACUGGAACUGAGACACGGUCCAGACUCCUACGGGAGGCAGCAGUAGGGAAUCUUCCGCAAUGGGCGAAAGCCUGACGGAGCAACGCCGCGUGAGUGAAGAAGGUCUUCGGAUCGUAAACCUCUGUUAUUAGGGAAGAACAAAUGUGUAAGUAACUAUGCACGUCUUGACGGUACCUAAUCAGAAAGCCACGGCUAACUACGUG
rnacentral:rRNA from 1 species